GUUGAACGCUGGCGGCGUGCCUAAUACAUGCAAGUCGAGCGAACAGACGAGGAGCUUGCUCCUCUGACGUUAGCGGCGGACGGGUGAGUAACACGUGGAUAACCUACCUAUAAGACUGGGAUAACUUCGGGAAACCGGAGCUAAUACCGGAUAAUAUAUUGAACCGCAUGGUUCAAUAGUGAAAGACGGUUUUGCUGUCACUUAUAGAUGGAUCCGCGCCGCAUUAGCUAGUUGGUAAGGUAACGGCUUACCAAGGCAACGAUGCGUAGCCGACCUGAGAGGGUGAUCGGCCACACUGGAACUGAGACACGGUCCAGACUCCUACGGGAGGCAGCAGUAGGGAAUCUUCCGCAAUGGGCGAAAGCCUGACGGAGCAACGCCGCGUGAGUGAUGAAGGUCUUCGGAUCGUAAAACUCUGUUAUUAGGGAAGAACAAAUGUGUAAGUAACUAUGCACGUCUUGACGGUACCUAAUCAGAAAGCCACGGCUAACUACGU
rnacentral:rRNA from 1 species